UCAUGUCCCUCAACAUUUCUCUUUCAUUAAUCCUAAUUAUAUGUUCUUUUACUUUUUAAAUUGACGUAUACACUUGAUAUUGAUAUAUAUAUAUAUAUUCAUAGAUUUUUAGGGUUAAGAAAAUAUGGCACAAAUGGCAAGAACAGAUGAAAAGUUACCACAAUAUGAUCAAGAUAUGCAAGAUAUUCAUGUAAAUAAAGCACAAGGUGGUCAGAUAAAUCAUGAUCAACUAUGUGAUUACCUACAUGAUCAGCAGCUGCAGCCCAAAGAUGGCGCCCAACUUGAAGGCAAAAUUGUUGCACUUUCCUUGUCACCAAGACAGGCGCAAAAUCAUCCCAUGCACAAGUGAUAUAUCACUUUGUUAUAAAUAAAUAACAGGCGUUGAUUUUUCGGAUGAUCACUCAAGUAAUAAUUAGAGUUGAGGGUCAAAAACACACCUAUAAUAUCUCUUCUAUUGCUUCAUAUCGAAACUAUCAAGUGUGUGAAUUUUCCACCUGAACUAUCACCAAAUGUUUAGCUAAACACACCUCAACUAUCAUUUGUUCACUUUUUCUAUAUGAAAUUUCGAGUAUGAAACUCAAACAAUUGAUAGUUCAGGUGUGUUUCAAUAAAAUAUAGUGAUAGUUCAUAUCGAAAACUCACACACCUGAUAGUUCAAGUAUGAAAGUAAAAAAGUUGGGAAAACAUUAGGUGCAUCUUUUACCUUUUACUCUAAUAAUUAUUAUCUCAGAAAAGUCAUAUUUUUCUUGAUUAUUCCAAUAAAAAUAUUAAAAUGACUUUCUGAAAUAAAAACUGUUAACUGAGUGAUCAUUUGAGAAAGCCCGAGUCUAAAUGAAAUAGAGAAAGUUAGAUAGGUGAAAAUAUAAAUUUUCACUAUAGAUAAUUAGUUUAUCUUGUUCGAAUAGAAAUAUUAAGUUAAUUAGUUCGCGUACUGCAAUGGCGUACACAAGAUUUCGCUAAGCAGUAUCGGCCUAUUAUCACAAUUUGUAUGUGACUUUAAGGUUUAUGGAAUUAUGGUAACUUUAGUGUAUUACUUUAUUAUUAAUGUUAUUUUAAAGUGGUGCUGGCA